GGCUGAUCCUAAAUAUGAUGGAAACUAAGGUUUGUUGGCUUCUUGUUAUGGUUUUUUUAGACAUGCAAUGUUUUAGUUACGAGGACUGAGAUAUUUCAUCAAUGGAUAUAACUUGAUUAUGUUAAAACAGCUAUUUGCAUCUUAUGGGUGUAAUUUUGUUGCCGCAAUUUUCAUAGAUACCUUGUGUUAAAUUAAUUUUCAGGCUCUGAAUGUGAACUACUCUAAAAAAA
rnacentral:misc_RNA from 1 species